rnacentral:sRNA from 1 species
UAGGUUGAAUAAACUCGAAUCAGUGCGUA